rnacentral:ncRNA from 1 species
AUAAUGAUACUUCCGUAAUUCGCGGCCCGGUCAUAAAGAAGACGGGGUGGCGGAGAGGCCAAUGG